rnacentral:rRNA from 1 species
AUUGAACGCUGGCGUCAUGCCUUACACAUGCAAGUCGAACGGCAGCACGGGAGCAAUCCUGGUGGCGAGUGGCGAACGGGUGAGUAAAGUAUCGGAACGUGCCCAGUCGUGGGGGAUAACGUAGCGAAAGUUACGCUAAUACCGCAUACGAUCUAUGGAUGAAAGCGGGGGAUCGCAAGACCUCGCGCGAUUGGAGCGGCCGAUAUCAGAUUAGGUAGUUGGUGGGGUAAAGGCUCACCAAGCCGACGAUCUGUAGCUGGUCUGAGAGGACGACCAGCCACACUGGGACUGAGACACGGCCCAGACUCCUACGGGAGGCAGCAGUGGGGAAUUUUGGACAAUGGGCGCAAGCCUGAUCCAGCAAUGCCGCGUGCAGGAAGAAGGCCUUCGGGUUGUAAACUGCUUUUGUACGGAGCGAAAAGGCUUUCUCUAAUACAGGAGGCUGAUGACGGUACCGUAAGAAUAAGCACCGGCUAACUACGUGCCAGCCGCCGCGGUAA